UCAUCCCCGCCGCCGGGCGGGGCGAAGCGUUGGCUUCCGCAUCGUUAGGCCAUUGAAGAUGCAGGGGCGGGCGCAUUUUUUAU
rnacentral:ncRNA from 1 species